AGUCUUCUGUUCGUGCAGGGCACUCUGGGCCUUCAGGGCUGAAUCGCGAGCACAGUACGUCAGGAAAGCACAUCCUGAAGAUACACAUGCAGAGAGACAGUGUCGGAGAGAUGUUUCUGAGAAGACCAGAGAACAUUCUUGAAUUUGCUGCAUACUAUUUCACAGAUCCAAGACUUCCCAACAAAAUUCACAUGCAGCUAAUUAAAGAGAAGAAGGGAGCCUAAUUAGCAAGCCACAAUGCUCAGCUGCUGGGAGAAGGCAGAAGGAGUCCAGCCUUGGGGUCGUCUGGAGGCCCGAGAGCAGUGUUGCCCUUCUUAUGGGUUUCCGAGCUAUGUGGACCUUCUCCUGUCGUAGGGGCCUUUAGGAUCCUCAUUAAAUCCAGACCUGCCGGC
rnacentral:lncRNA from 1 species